rnacentral:rRNA from 1 species
CCCUUUUCCGGUUGAUCCUGCCGGAGGCCACUGCUAUUGGGAUCCGACUAAGCCAUGCGAGUCGAGAGGGUUCGGCCCUCGGCAGACUGCUCAGUAACACGUGGAUAAUCUACCCUUAGGUGGAGGAUACUCUCGGGAAACUGAGAAUAAUACUCCAUAGGUCUAGGAUGCUGGAAUGCACCUAGGUUGAAAGUUCCGGCGCCUAAGGACGAGUCUGCGGACUAUCAGGUAGUAGUCAGGGUAAAGACCUGACUAGCCUACGACGGAUACGGGUUGUGGGAGCAAUAGCCCGGAGACGAUAUCUGAGACACGAUAUCGGGCCCUACGGGGCGCAGCAGGCGCGAAAUCUUCACAAUGUGCGAAAGCACGAUGAGGGGAUCCCAAGUGUUGGCUCGUAAGAGUCAUCUGUUUCUUUGUCUAAAAAACAGAGAGAGUAAGAGCUGGGUAAGACGGGUGCCAGCCGCCGCGGUAAUACCUGCAGCUCAAGUGGUGGCCGCUAUUAUUGGGCCUAAAACGUCCGUAGCCGGUUUAGUAAAUGCCUGGGUAAAUUGUGUAGCUCAACUAUACGAAUACCGGGUAGACUGCUAAACUUGGAACCGGGAGAGGCUAGAGGUACUCCUAGGGUAGAGGUGAAAUUCUGUAAUCCUAGGGGGACCACCAGUGGCGAAGGCGUCUAGCUAGAACGGGUUUGACGGUGA